rnacentral:tRNA from 1 species
AUGUUUUAGUAUAUGAUGUACGAGAACUUUUGGUGUUUUAAGGGAUAGUUUAAUUCUAUCAAACAUAAU